rnacentral:rRNA from 1 species
CGCCGCGUGAGUGAUGAAGGUCUUCGGAUCGUAAAGCUCUGUUGUUAGGGAAGAACAAGUACCGUUCGAAUAGGGCGGUACCUUGACGGUACCUAACCAGAAAGCCAAGGCUAAAUACGUGCCAGCAGCCGCGGUAAUACGUAGGUGGCAAGCGUUGUCCGGAAUUAUUGGGCGUAAAGGGCUCGCAGGCGGUUUCUUAAGUUUGAUGUGAAAGCCCCCGGCUCAACCGGGGAGGGUCAUUGGAAACUGGGGAACUUGAGUGCAGAAGAGGAGAGUGGAAUUCCACGUGUAGCGGUGAAAUGCGUAGAGAUGUGGAGGAACACCAGUGGCGAAGGCGACUCUCUGGUCUGUAACUGACGCUGAGGAGCGAAAGCGUGGGGAGCGAACAGGAUUAGAUACCCUGGUAGUCCACGCCGUAAACGAUGAGUGCUAAGUGUUAGGGGGUCUCCGCCCCUUAGUGCUGCAGCUAACGCAUUAAGCACUCCGCCUGGGGAGUACGGUCGCAAGACUGAAACUCAAAGGAAUUGACGGGGGCCCGCACAAGCGGUGGAGCAUGUGGUUUAAUUCGAAGCAACGCGAAGAACCUUACCAGGUCUUGACAUCCUCUGACAAUCCUAGAGAUAGGACGUCCCCUUCGGGGGCAGAGUGACAGGUGGUGCAUGGUUGUCGUCAGCUCGUGUCGUGAGAUGUUGGGUUAAGUCCCGCAACGAGCGCAACCCUUGAUCUUAGUUGCCAGCAUUCAGUUGGGCACUCUAAGGUGACUGCCGGUGACAAACCGGAGGAAGGUGGGGAUGACGUCAAAUCAUCAUGCCCCUUAUGACCUGGGCUACACACGUGCUACAAUGGACAGAACAAAGGGCAGCGAAACCGCGAGGUUAAGCCAAUCCCACAAAUCUGUUCUCAGUUCGGAUCGCAGUCUGCAACUCGACUGCGUGAAGCGGAAUCGCUAGUAAUCGCGGAUCAGCAUGCCGCGGUGAAUACG